GAUGAACGCUAGCGACAGGCUUAACACAUGCAAGUCGAGGGGCAGCACGGGAGUAGCAAUACAACUGGUGGCGACCGGCGCACGGGUGAGUAACGCGUAUGCAACCUACCUAUCAGAGGGGAAUAACCCGGCGAAAGUCGGACUAAUACCGCAUAAAUCAGGGGCACCGCAUGGUGAUAUUUGUUAAAGAAAUUCGCUGAUAGAUGGGCAUGCGUUCCAUUAGGUAGUUGGUGAGGUAACGGCUCACCAAGCCGACGAUGGAUAGGGGAACUGAGAGGUUGGUCCCCCACACUGGUACUGAGACACGGACCAGACUCCUACGGGAGGCAGCAGUGAGGAAUAUUGGUCAAUGGGCGGGAGCCUGAACCAGCCAAGUCGCGUGAAGGAAGAAGGAUCUAUGGUUCGUAAACUUCUUUUGCAGGGGAAUAAAGUGCAGGACGUGUCCUGUUUUGUAUGUACCUUAUGAAUAAGGACCGGCUAAUUCCGUGCCAGCAGCCGCCGUAA
rnacentral:rRNA from 1 species